GACGGAGGGGGAGUCCGGGUGUCCCGGGGCCUGGCUCUGCUGGGGGAGCUGCUGGUGAUGCGUGCUGGCCCCCAACAAAGGAUUCAUGCUAUGGAUAAAACUACGCCGUACAGCGGAGGGUAGCCUGCAGAAACAGCGCAAAGCACAACUCUUUAACCUGAUUAUGUAAGCGCUUAUAAAUAAAAGCCUGAUCCUUACAGCCCGGAGGUCUUAACGUCGGCUGUUGCUGCUGCUGCUGCUGCUGGAUCCCUGAUCCCUGACGAUCCACAACAAAGGCAAAAAAUGGAGCCGGAACCAGAAGAGGUGGACACCAAAGAGAUGUUAUGCAAAACAAAAUAAAAAAAACCAUAAAUUAAAUGAAUGGGGAAACGACGCAGAGGAGGAAUGAACACCAAACAAAUCCAGCUUCUCCUCGUUAAUGGAGCUCAGAUUGGAAGAUGCGACCGCAGGGCAGGCUGGAGCAAGCGCUGCGGGAUUGGAGGAUCCUCCUACCGUAAACACACUAAUAGAGGAGCGCACAAAUCCCCAAUGCUCAGCGCGGUUCAGUAUUUCUACCAUUUGCUCAAUGUUUUUGACGCGUUACAAGAACAAACGUCAAUGUAUUUUUGUUUUAAUUUGUUUAAAGCCUUAUUAAAAAUAAAACAUUCUGUGUUUGCAUUCACAGAAUUUGUUAAUCUGAAUCCCAUAAACAAAAUCCGGUGCAACUACUUGCUUUCAGAUUAUGAAUAAAGUUGUUUCAGUGAAAACUG